rnacentral:misc_RNA from 1 species
AAUCCUCAAAAGAAAAGCUUAACUGUUUCUCUUUUGGAAUUGGAGCGUGCUGGCCUUUUGUUAGAAAGCCCGGCUCCUCUGAAAUGCAUUAGCGAUGUGACAUCCGCAUGGCACCACGCUUCUCUGGCAUUGAUAGUAUCUUCAUGCUUGAGCGUUUUUGUGCAGCUGUGGAAAGCUUUGCUCGCUCAUAACCUGAUGGGUCAGCCCAUCCUUUGACCA